rnacentral:rRNA from 1 species
GAUGAACGCUGGCGGCGUGCCUAAUACAUGCAAGUCGAGCGAACAGACGAGGAGCUUGCUCCUCUGACAUUAGCGGCGGACGGGUGAGUAACACGUGGAUAACCUACCUAUAAGACUGGGAUAACUUCGGGAAACCGGAGCUAAUACCGGAUAAUAUAUUGAACCGCAUGGUUCAAUAGUGAAAGACGGUUUUGCUGUCACUUAUAGAUGGAUCCGCGCCGCAUUAGCUAGUUGGUAAGGUAACGGCUUACCAAGGCGACGAUGCGUAGCCGACCUGAGAGGGUGAUCGGCCACACUGGAACUGAGACACGGUCCAGACUCCUACGGGAGGCAGCAGUCGGGAAUCUUCCGCAAUGGGCGAAAGCCUGACGGAGCAACGCCGCGUGAGUGAUGAAGGUCUUCGGAUCGUAAAACUCUGUUAUUAGGGAAGAACAAAUGUGUAAGUAACUAUGCACGUAUUGACGGUACCUAAUCAGAAAGCCACGGCUAACUACGUG